UACGAAGGGGGCUAGCGUUGCUCGGAAUCACUGGGCGUAAAGCGCACGUAGGCGGACUCUUAAGUCGGUGGUGAAAUCCUGGAGCUCAACUCCAGAACUGCCUUCGAUACUGAGAGUCUCGAGUCCGGGAGAGGUGAGUGGAACUGCGAGUGUAGAGGUGAAAUUCGUAGAUAUUCGCAAGAACACCAGUGGCGAAGGCGGCUCACUGGUCCGGUACUGACGCUGAGGUGCGAAAGCGUGGGGAGCAAACAGGG
rnacentral:rRNA from 1 species